GAGGCCGGCAAGCUUGCUUGCCAGGACGCCCAGACAUUGGCCGGGGCAACAGGUAUGAGCACGCAGGCGAAUGUGCGGGAGUGCGAAUACCUGUCAGGAUUGCGGGAGUGCGAUGCACGGAGCAAUCUGUAG
rnacentral:sRNA from 1 species